AAGUCGAGGGGCAGCAUGAACUUAGCUUGCUAAGUUUGAUGGCGACCGGCGCACGGGUGAGUAACACGUAUCCAACCUGCCGAUGACUCGGGGAUAGCCUUUCGAAAGAAAGAUUAAUACCCGAUGGCAUAGUUCUUCCGCAUGGUAGAACUAUUAAAGAAUUUCGGUCAUCGAUGGGGAUGCGUUCCAUUAGGUUGUUGGCGGGGUAACGGCCCACCAAGCCUUCGAUGGAUAGGGGUUCUGAGAGGUUAACCCCCACAUUGGUACUGAGACACGGUCCAAACUCC
rnacentral:rRNA from 1 species